rnacentral:rRNA from 1 species
CCUACGGGAGGCAGCAGUGAGGAAUAUUGGUCAAUGGGCUUACGCCUGAACCAGCCAAGUCGCGUGAGGGAAGACUGCCCUAUGGGUUGUAAACCUCUUUUGUCAGGGAGCAACGCCGGCUACGUGUAGCCGGACUGAGAGUACCUGAAGAAAAAGCAUCGGCUAACUCCGUGCCAGCAGCCGCGGUAAUACGGAGGAUGCGAGCGUUAUCCGGAUUUAUUGGGUUUAAAGGGUGCGUAGGCGGAAUGCCAAGUCAGCGGUAAAAUCGCGGGGCUCAACCCCGUACUGCCGUUGAAACUGCAUCCAUUGAGUGCGCGAGAAGUAUGCGGAAUGCGUGGUGUAGCGGUGAAAUGCAUAGAUAUCACGCAGAACUCCGAUUGCGAAGGCAGCAUACCGGCGCGCAACUGACGCUCAUGCACGAAAGCGUGGGUAUCGAACAGGAUUAGAUACCCGUGUAGUC